AUGGGCAAGCCUCUUAGCCGUCCCGGGUGUUUCAGGAAAAGCUCCUGCUGCCUGGAGAAACAUGGAGCUGGGGAUGGGGGAGUGGGAGGGCGAGCUGGGGGAAUGGAAGGGGGAUACGGAGACGGCUACGUACCCCAACGGUCCAUCUAUGAUACCAUGUGCAUCAAUCAACAGAUUGACAGCCAUCACCAUCACCCUGGAGGGUCCAUAAGGCGAGACUGUGGAGGUGAGGGAAGUUUCAGCUACUCUGCAAGCGGUUCCCUGAGGGUUAGCAGGUCUCCAGCUGACAUGUUUGAUGCACAGCCCCGCUCUUUAACUCCAAACCCCUCGUUUGUGCGGCGACUGGACGAAAGAACCAUCUAUGAUUCAUUGAAGCUUGGGAGUCAGGAUGCAGAUGGUGGCGGAUGCCAUUCUCCAGGACGUUUCACUCGAUCAGUUUCUCCCUCUGUGUCCUCGUUCUCAGCACCAGGAGUGUCCUCCUCCUCAUCCAAGAAACACCACCAUCACCACCACCAUCACCAUGGAGACAGCACAAAAAGCAGAGAUGGUCGACAUUCCUGGAAAGUCUUGACACCUCCAAAACACCUGGAGUGUCUAGAGCUUACUACAACUGAAAUGAUGGACAGAGGAGGCGGGUACCUGAACCCAGGGCACUACCCUCCUGGGGGCCAGUCCUCCUCUUUUACCUCCCCCCUCAUUUCCCCCUUCUCUGGUUCACCUCUCUCUUCGGGUUACCAUACUCCAGUUUUUUUCUCCCCUGCCAAACCUCGCCCCAGUCAGACUCAGAGUUUACGCUGCUCCCCUCCCCAGGUCAUCCAGCCAAGGCAUUACUCCCAAACCCAGAGCCUCAGGCUGUCACCACCACAGGAGCUUAGACGAUCCCCGUACCGUGCCCCGCUGGUCCAACUGUCUGCUCACGAUCUCGAGCAGGACCUGAGGGAUCGAGGAGGAGGAUGGGGCCGGAGUGAGCGAGAAAGGGAGUGGGAGAGGGAGAGAGAAAGGGAGAUGGAGAGAGGGUGGGCCCAGCGAGAGUGGGAAAGAGAGAGGGAAAGGGGGAGGCUGGAGAGGGAGAGGGCGAGAGAAAGGGAGAGGAGGGAAACCUCUUUUGGGACCUUUGGUUAUGGUCGACCAGUUCCUCUGCGUUCAGACAGAGACUCUGUGUUUUUAGAGUCCGACCAGGUUCUAGACACAACGCCCCUGUUGCACCCCCAGCCCUCACCUUCACCCUCCCCCAGUGCUGCCCCCAGAAUGGGCUGCGGAGCUGUGGGUAGGAAUAGAGCUGGGUCAAAGGUUGGCCCUGAAAGUGUAGGUGGCGUUAUGGUUUCAAAGUUUGACAAUGGAAGUGUGGGUUUGGUGUUAGUUGACAGUAAAUCUGGGUGUGGGCCAAGGUUAGUAAGUGAAGUUCCAUCUGGAAAAAUGUCAGAGGCAGAAAUCAGAGCUGGAAUGCAAGAACACCAUAGAACAGAAAGUUGGAACAAAUAUGACAACGGAUCCAGAGCUAGCAUUAAAAAUGGGUCUGAAACAAGAAUGGGCACCCAGGUGAAAACAAGACCAGGGGGACGGGAUUUGGAAGGAAAAGUGCAAUCUGGGAUGGAAAAUAUGGCUCCAGUUUUGAGCAAGGAGGGACACAGGGGAGGGACAAGGGGUGGAGAAAAAUCUGGAAGGGUUGUGGCUAAACCAGAACGUAUUGCUGAGGCUAUACCUUCAACUGUGAUUGACACUGAGAAUAAGGUUGAGACUGGAGAUAAAGUUGAGAUAGGAGCUGGAUCUGGUCUGGGGAUGAAGUCAGAGAUUGAAGCAGGGGUUGAAUCUAAAACUAGUUCAAGGCAGGUGGAGAACAGGACUGGAACAGAUGGAGGUGCAGCAAAAGUUAUUAAUAAUGAUGUUGGUUUAGCAGCAGAGUCCAGAGUAGAAGCUAAAGUUGAGACAGAAGUUAAGAUUGCUCCUACAUCUGAGCCUGAAGCAGUACCAAAAACUAGGGUUAGUAAUGAGACAGGGACUAAGAGUAACACUGAGACUGGAGUUGAAAGCCAGAACAACAGCAAGACAAAAGAUGAAGCUCAGAUAAGUGUUGUGGCUGGGGAUAAAACGGAUACAGCCCCUGCAAAGCAAGCUGAGAAAAAUACUUUGGACAUGGAUAAAAUAGAAUCUACC
rnacentral:lncRNA from 15 species